CAGCCGCCGCGGUAAUACGCAGGGUGCGAGCGUUAAUCGGAAUUACUGGGCGUAAAGCGUGCGCAGGCGGUUCGGAAAGAGAGAUGUGAAAUCCCAGGGCUUAACCUUGGAACUGCAUUUUUAACUACCGGACUAGAGUGUGUCAGAGGGAGGUGGAAUUCCGCGUGUAGCAGUGAAAUGCGUAGAGAUGCGGAGGAACACCGAUGGCGAAGGCAGCCUCCUGGGAUAACACUGAUGCUCAUGCACGAAAGCGUGGGGAGCAAGCAGGAUUAGAUACCCCUGUAGUCCCUGUCUCUUAUAC
rnacentral:rRNA from 1 species